rnacentral:lncRNA from 1 species
UUCCCCAUUUGACCUAACCUAAUUCCAACCCUUAUAAACUUAACCCCUAACUCCUAAAAUCAAAAAGAUCAUAUUCCCAAUCUCCUUAACAAAAAAGGGCAGCCAUCCCUCAAUGAUAGAGCACCCAUCGCUGCUUCUUCUUGUUCCCUUCACCACACCUACAAGACCCUGCCGCACCCCAAUCCCUUUCGAUGACGAUAACACAUACGCACAAGAACAAAAAAAAGAAAGGAACGAAGGGUAAAACAGAAACAGAAAAGGGAAAAUGGAGAGGAACAGACCAAAAGUUAAAAAUCAGCAAUAACUUCACUUCUCAUUUGUUGCCUUUGAAAUCUCAUAUUCUUUUAUAAAAUAAAUACAAAUCCCAAUUCCACCAAAAUAUCUUUUAAAAAAAGCUAUGUUUAGCUUCCUUUGUCAGAUUUCUUUGCUGGUUUGAAGGAAGUCUUGGUUCGUCCAUUUCGAAUUGAUCCGCUCGUGGUUCCGAUAAGGUUUUCGAUCAUGGAUCUAGUGUUGCUGUAGUAACUACUAUUGGAACUUUAUAGAGUUUCUUUGUGUAUUACAAAUCUGAAAUUGCUUCAAUCAAGGUCCAUUUCUACUUUUAAUCUUUUAUUUUGUGCAUGGCGUGAUGUUUAAUGUUGUCGAGCAUACAUUACUGGUGCACUGUUUAUAUGUUUAUGAGUUGAUUUGUUGUUAGCUUGAAAAAUUAUCAUGAUGCCAUGCUGAUUUCUGAUUUCUCUUCAUUAGCUUUAAAAUUGCAAUUAGUGGUAAUAUUCAUGGUUUUAGAUUCCAUCUGUGUGUUUCUCGUUAGUUGUCAAAUAGAUUAGGUGAAUAAACUUUCAUCAUAAUUGAACUUGGUUUGGAAUUUAGGAAGAUUGGUUGGUGCUUUACUGGGGGGUUGGCGUUUGUUUUUAGUAAAAUUGAAGUGUGCCGUGUGAUUUAAUUUGCAGUUGGGCCUGUUUGUGUUACUGAAGACAAGACUAAGAAUACUUGUUCGGUUUUGAGGGCAUGUGGGCCAAAUGAAUUUACUUUACUAAAAUCAUUUCCUUAAUAAACCAUAAGUUGGUGUAUUUACUCACAUGUCAAAGAUUAGCAAUCAAAUUAACAACAGAUUUCAAGUUAAUUAGAUAACUGACCUUGAGUCAUAUUAUGAUAUCAACCAGUCUAAGGUUUAACAUAAACUCGGUGUUUAAGGCUAAAGACAAGCAGAUAUUUUUCCAUGUGUGAACAAAUGAUGUACUUCUAUUUGAUGUGCUAGUACUGGUUUUAGAAUAGAGAAUUCCUAUGUUUUCGUUUAAUGUCUUGUUUUACUGAUCUAGGAAUUCUUAUGGUUUUAGAAUAGGUUGUUUGCAUGCGAGUAAUCAUUAUCAUUAUUCCAUAACUGAUAAGCUUCAUGUUUUAUCUUAAACUUAGGUAUUAAACAAUUUCAAAUAAUCGUAGUUUGCCUUAGGCGCGCAAUUAAAUUAUUAUAACUAUGGGUACAGUUCCCGUGACGUGGUUGUGAUACCUAGUUAGAUUAAAAUAGGAGCAUCUUUAAUUUUCCUUAGAAGAAAAAUACAAAUCUUUUCCUUUUAAAAAUAAUUUGGGGUGUGCCAUACACAAAUAAAAAUCCUAUUAUCUAUGGCCCUCACAUAAAUACAAAAUUAGUAUAGGAAAUGCCUUGAACCUUAGUAGUUAGCUUUAGGCGCAUUAAUUAAAUAAUUGCCAUAGCUAUGAGUACGGUUCCCGUGACGUAGUUGUGACGCUUAAUUGCUAAACUCCGAGGGUGCAUUUAUUUGACCCGGCCACAAUUUAAUCUUUAAAAAUUAAACAUGUUGGCUAUGAGUACGGUUCCCGUGGCGUAGUUAUGACGCUUAAUUGCUAAACUCCGAGGGUACAUUUAUUUGACCCGGGCACAAUUUAAUCUUUAAAAAUUAAACAUGUUGUAGAUGUUGGGUAUGGUUCCCGUGACAUGAUUCGCAAUAUGUAACAAUAUUUAUUAAAAACGGUUAUAAAGUUAAAACGCACAAUAGGUUUAAACACGUAAUAAGUCAGAUAAUUAGGCCAAUUAUUAAUAGUUGAGCGACCGUGCUAAAACCACGGAAUCCGAAAAUGCCUAACACCUUCUCUCGGAUUAACAGAAUUCCUUACCCGACCUUCUGUGUUCACGAACUGUAAAAGAGAGUCAAACUUCCUCGAUUCGGGAUUUGAACCGGUGACUUGGGACACCAUAAAUUAUCUCAAGUGGCGACUCUGAAUUUUAAAUAAGUAAUCCCGUUUCAAUUGUCAUUUAAAUUGGAAAAACUCUCUUAUACCCCGUCGGGGUGGUAAAAAAGGAGGUGUGACACUCGCAAACAGGACACGACUAUCAUAAAUGUCCUUCAGCUGGUUUGGCUGGCGGUUGUAAUCCAGCUCCUGGCGAAAGUUUAUCUAAUGUGCACAACUAUCAAGGAUACACGUAGUGUUUUGUUUCUGUAAUGUGUUUGUAAUAAGUGUAUGUACUUGUUUAUCUUGCAUAAUGUAUGAAAGAAAGUUAUGUUUCCAUUGCUGUUAUAUCUUUUGAUAUUUAACAUUAAUACUUCAGUACAACAAUCUAACACUUGUUAUUGCUAGACCGAGCGACUUAUGCCAAUCUAACAAUCUAACAUUUGUUAUUGCCAAUACCAAAAGGGGAUCUGUUGAACUACCUUUACAUUUUUGCCUCUUUUUUAAAUCACUUGUUAAAUGUUAGUGGCAUUUUUUAAUGGAUGUUAUAAUGUUUAUUCAAAAGGUCUUUGAAAUACAUAUGACUUGGUUAAGUUUAAGAAGAUUUGUUAUACCCGAAAUAAUCAUUAGCAUGCGAAGCAUCGCGCGGUUACAAAUCACGUUAUGUGUAUUGUCUUGUCGACCUGCUAAAGCUGUUGUUCUGGAAAAGCUGUCUUCUGGAAAAGUUGUAUUGUACCGUAAAGAAUCAUUAGCGUGCGAAUCAUAACAUGGUUAAAUACCACAUUAUCUGUAUUGUCUUGUCAACCUGAUAAAGCUGCCGUUCUGCAAAAGCUGCUCGCUUCAAAAAGCUGUAUUGUACCCAAAAGAAUCUUUAACUCCGCGAAGCAUAGCGAGAUUAAAUAAUACGUUAUGUGUGUUGCCUUGACUAUAAAUAACUAGCGUAUUUUAACUAUUAUUUGUGCUUAACCAAACAAAUAGCAAAACUUUUCAUAAAAGCAGGUUUUUUCAAUUACAAAUAUCUGGAUACAAUGACCAACCAAUGUGCUAUUCUGGCUAACGUUGUAUGAUGAACUCAUGUUGGUCCGACUGUCAUGUUGGACACAGAUACUGAUGUGUGUAAACAGGUUUGGAGGUAAUGACAAAAAUUAUUGCAAUUUUGAGGAAUGGUAUGAUGAACCCAUUGAGUAGUAAUGUAACAAAAAAUCUUUGCAGUAUAUUUGGAAUAUGAACUAUGAAUAUCGACGUCGUGAGUCUGAAAUGAAAUGAGAAAUUGCGUCAUUGCAGGAGAAACUAAAAGAGGCGGAAGAAGAAGAAAUAAACUGGAAGAGAAAUUUAAGUAAUUGGAGCAGAGAAUACUAGGCGGUAGUGACUAAGCAAUGACUUGUAUGUGUUGAGUGUAGUAUUUUAUCUUUAUGUUUUCCGUAUCUUGUAUUUUCAUUAGUUGUACUGAAUUUAAAUUAUGUUAAGUUGCUAUAUUUGUGUUUGUGUUGU